GCGCUCGCUUCGGCAGCACACAUACUAAAAUUGGAACGAUAGAGAUUAGCGUGGCCCCUGCGCAAGGAUGACAUGCAAAUUCGUGAAGAGUUCCAUAUUAAA
rnacentral:snRNA from 1 species